GGAGGAAAGUAGGGGAUCGCAAGACCUUGCGCUUUUGGAGCGGCCGAUGCCUGAUUAGCUUGUUGGUGAGGUAAAAGCUCACCAAGGCUCCGAUCAGUAGCUGGUCUGAGAGGACGACCAGCCACACUGGGACUGAGACACGGCCCAGACUCCUACGGGAGGCAGCAGCGGGGAAUUUUGGACAAUGGGGGCAACCCUGAUCCAGCCAUGCCGCGUGAGUGAAGAAGGCCUUCGGGUUGUAAAGCUCUUUCAGCCGGAACGAAACGGUCACGGUUAAUACCCGUGACUACUGACGGUACCGGAAGAAGAAGCACCGGCUAACUACGUGCCAGCAGCCGCGGUAAUACGUAGGGUGCGAGCGUUAAUCGGAAUUACUGGGCGUAAAGCGUGCGCAGGCGGUUUUGUAAGUCAGAUGUGAAAUCCCCGGGCUUAACCUGGGAACUGCGUUUGAAACUACAAAGCUAG
rnacentral:rRNA from 1 species